rnacentral:tRNA from 2 species
GGGCGGCUAGCUCAGUUGGUUAGAGCACUUGCUCGACACGCAAGGGGUCGAUGGUUCGAAUCCAUUGUCGCCCA